AGCUAUGGCCAUGCCACCCUGAACAUGGGCGAUCUCAUCUGAUCUCGGAAGCUAAGCAGGGCCGGGCCUGGUUAGUACUUGGAUGGGAGACUACCUAGGAAGACCAGGGGCUAUAGGCG
rnacentral:rRNA from 1 species